rnacentral:rRNA from 1 species
ACAGAGGGUGCAAACGUUGCUCGGAAUUACUGGGCGUAAAGCGCGUGUAGGCGGGCUUGCAAGUCAGAUGUGAAAUCCCCGGGCUCAACCCGGGAACUGCAUUUGAAACUGCAAGCCUUGAGUAUCGGAGAGGAAAGCGGAAUUCCUGGUGUAGAGGUGAAAUUCGUAGAUAUCAGGAGGAACACCGGUGGCGAAGGCGGCUUUCUGGACGAUAACUGACGCUGAGACGCGAAAGCGUGGGGAGCAAACAGGAUUAGAUACCCUGGUAGUCCACGCUGUAAACGAUGAACACUAGGUGUCGUGGGUAUUGACCCCCGCGGUGCCGUAGCUAACGCAUUAAGUGUUCCGCCUGGGAAGUACGGUCGCAAGACUA